rnacentral:rRNA from 1 species
UGACGCUGGCGGCAUGCCUUACACAUGCAAGUCGAACGGCAGCACGGGAGCUUGCUCCUGGUGGCGAGUGGCGAACGGGUGAGUAAUAUAUCGGAACGUACCCUAGAGUGGGGGAUAACGCAGCGAAAGUUGCGCUAAUACCGCAUACGAUCUACGGAUGAAAGUGGGGGAUCGCAAGACCUCAUGCUCAUGGAGCGGCCGAUAUCUGAUUAGCUAGUUGGUGGGGUAAAGGCCUACCAAGGCAUCGAUCAGUAGCUGGUCUGAGAGGACGACCAGCCACACUGGAACUGAGACACGGUCCAGACUCCUACGGGAGGCAGCAGUGGGGAAUUUUGGACAAUGGGGGCAACCCUGAUCCAGCAAUGCCGCGUGAGUGAAGAAGGCCUUCGGGUUGUAAAGCUCUUUUGUCAGGGAAGAAACGGUGAGGGCUAAUAUCCUUUGCUAAUGACGGUACCUGAAGAAUAAGCACCGGCUAACUACGUGCCAGCAGCCGCGGUAAUACGUAGGGUGCAAGCGUUAAUC